rnacentral:rRNA from 1 species
UGGGGAAUUUUGGACAAUGGGCGAAAGCCUGAUCCAGCAAUGCCGCGUGUGUGAAGAAGGCCUUCGGGUUGUAAAGCACUUUUGUCCGGAAAGAAAUCCUCUGGGUUAAUACCUCGGGGGGAUGACGGUACCGGAAGAAUAAGCACCGGCUAACUACGUGCCAGCAGCCGCGGUAAUACGUAGGGUGCAAGCGUUAAUCGGAAUUACUGGGCGUAAAGCGUGCGCAGGCGGUUUUGUAAGACGGAUAUGAAAUCCCCGGGCUUAACCUGGGAACUGCAUUCGUGACUGCAAGGCUAGAGUAUGGCAGAGGGGGGUAGAAUUCCACGUGUAGCAGUGAAAUGCGUAGAGAUGUGGAGGAAUACCGAUGGCGAAGGCAGCCCCCUGGGCCAAUACUGACGCUCAUGCACGAAAGCGUGGGGAGCAAACAGGAUUAGAUACCCUGGUAGUCCACGCCCUAAACGAUGUCAACUAGUUGUUGGGGAUUCAUUUCCUUAGUAACGUAGCUAACGCGUGAAGUUGACCGCCUGGGGGAGUACGGUCGCAAGAUU